rnacentral:rRNA from 1 species
GGACCCGCACAAGUAGUGGAGCAUGUGGUUUAAUUCGAAGAUACGCGCAGAACCUUACCAACACUUGACAUGUUCGUCGCGACUUUAAGAGAUUAAAGUUUUCGGUUCGGCCGGACGAAACACAGGUGCUGCAUGGCUGUCGUCAGCUCGUGUCGUGAGAUGUUGGGUUAAGUCCCGCAACGAGCGCAACCCUCACUUUUAGUUGCCAUCAUUUAGUUGGGCACUCUGAAAGAACUGCCAGUGAUAAGCUGGAGGAAGGUGGGGAUGACGUCAAGUCCUCAUGGCCCUUACGUGUUGGGCUACACACGUGCUACAAUGGUAUCUACAACAGGAAGCAAGACUGCGAGGUCAAGCAAAUCCUUAAAAGAUACCUCAGUUCGGAUUGCACUCUGCAACUCGAGUGCAUGAAGCUGGAAUU